rnacentral:rRNA from 1 species
AGCAGCCGCGGUAAUUCCAGCUCCAAUAGCGUAUAUUAAAGUUGUUGCAGUUAAAAAGCUCGUAGUUGAAUUUCGGGGUUAGUAGGUUGGUCAUGCCUCUGGUAUGUACUGGUCUCACUGAUUCCUCCUUCCUGAUGAACCGUAAUGCCAUUAAUUUGGUGUUGCGGGGAAUUUGGAUUGUUACUUUGAAAAAAUUAGAGUGUUUAAAGCAAGCUAACGCUUGAAUACAUUAGCAUGGAAUAAUGAAAUAGGACGUUCGAUCCUAUUUUGUUGGUUUCUAGGAUUGACGUAAUGAUUAAUAGGGAUAGUUGGGGGCAUUAGUAUUCAAUUGUCAGAGGUGAAAUUCUUGGAUUUAUUGAGGACUAACUACUGCGAAAGCAUUUGCCAAGGAUGUUUUCAUUAAUCAAGAACGAAAGUUAGGGGAUCGAAGACGAUCAGAUACCGUCGUAGUCUUAACCAUAAACUAUGCCGACUAGGGAUCGGAUGAUGUUAAUUUUUAAUGACUCAUUCGGCGCCUUAA